CCUACGGGAGGCUGCAGUGGGGAAUAUUGGGCAAUGGGCGCAAGCCUGACCCAGCAACGCCGCGUGAAGGAAGAAGGCUUUCGGGUUGUAAACUUCUUUUGUCAGGGACGAAGCAAGUGACGGUACCUGACGAAUAAGCCACGGCUAACUACGUGCCAGCAGCCGCGGUAAUACGUAGGUGGCAAUCGUUAUCCGGAUUUAUGGGGUGAAAAGGGCGUGUAGGCGGAUUUUUAAGUCAGCGGUAAAAUGUCCGGGCUCAACCCGGGACUGCCGUUGAAACUGGGGAUCUUGAGUGGGCGAGAAGUAGGCGGAAUGCGUGGUGUAGCGGUGAAAUGCAUAGAUAUCACGCAGAACUCCGAUUGCGAAGGCAGCAUACCGGCGCCCGACUGACGCUGAGGCACGAAAGCGUGGGGAUCGAACAGGAUUAGAUACCCGUGUAGUC
rnacentral:rRNA from 1 species